rnacentral:lncRNA from 1 species
GGAAAAAGAAAUAGCUAUCGAUCACAAAGACAUAAUGAUAAUAAGAUAUAGAAAUCAAAGACAGAAUGAGAAGGACAUUCGGCCAAAAAAAAGAAGAGAAGAGAAAAGUGAUUCGGCUCAGUAGAUAAGAGAAGAGGGAAGAGAAAAAGGAUUCGGUAAAGAUGGAAUUCGGCUAAAACAGACAAAAAGGAAAGAAAAAGAAAAGUAAAGAGAAAAAAAUGAAAUAAAUGAGCAAACUCGAGAGUAACUCCCAGAACUUGGCAAAAUUCAACUCCAAAACUAAAAUGUGAAACCCGAAACUAACACAAAUCGAAGUAGACUGAGAGAAAAACUCCAAAAUAAACCAAAACCGAUAACCUUACAUAAACAAUGAUCAAAUUUGGCACAAACACCCUCACCCAGCCGAAUUCUCAAUGCUUGACUUACCCCAAACGACACAACACUCCUCACAAAACAACUCCUUGAUUUAUUCCUAAAAUCUCUUCCCUUAUCCCUCAUUGAUUCACUCCGCCCAAUCACAAUCCCACUAUUCUCUCCAUGAUUCACUCCUCUAUUCAAAUUCCACAACAUUUCAGUCAAACUCCACCACCUCACUGCACAGGUGGUAAAAAUAAACACUCUACAGUGAAGCACAGGACUCGAACCUCAGACCUUAAGAGUACUUCACACGCC